rnacentral:rRNA from 1 species
GAUGAACGCUAGCUACAGGCUUAACACAUGCAAGUCGAGGGGAAACGAUAGGGAAAGCUUGCUUUUUCUAGGCGUCGACUGGCGCACGGGUGAGUAACGCGUAUCCAACCUGCCCAUCACUUGGGGAUAACCUUGCGAAAGUAAGACUAAUACCCAAUGACGUCUCUAGAAGACAUCUGAAGGAGAUUAAAGAUUUAUCGGUGAUGGAUGGGGAUGCGUCUGAUUAGCUUGUUGGCGGGGUAACGGCCCACCAAGGCGACGAUCAGUAGGGGGUCUGAGAGGAAGGUCCCCCACAUUUGAACUGAGACACGGUCCAAACUCGUACGGGAGGCAGCAGUGAGGAAUAUUGGUCAAUGGACGGGAUUCUGAAGCAGCCAAGUAGCGUGCAGGAAGACGGCCCUAUGGGUUGUAAACUGCUUUUAUAAGGGAAUAAAGUGAGUCUCGUGAGACUUUUUGCAUGUACCUUAUGAAUCAGGACCGGCUAAUUCCGUGCCAGCCGCCGCGGUAA